CCUACGGGAGGCAGCAGUGGGGAAUAUUGCACAAUGGGGGGAACCCUGAUGCAGCAACGCCGCGUGGGUGAAGAAGUACUUCGGUAUGUAAAGCCCUGUCAGCAGGGAAGAAAAUGACGGUACCUGACCAAGAAGCCCCGGCUAACUACGUGCCAGCAGCCGCGGGUAGACGUAGGGGGCAAGCGUUAUCCGGAUUUACUGGGGGGAAAGGGAGGGUAGACGGCAACGCAAGUCUGGAGUGAAAGCCCGUGGCGCAACCCCGGGACUGCUUUGGAAACUGUGUUGCUGGAGUGCAGGAGGGGUAAGCGGAAUUCCUAGUGUAGCGGUGAAAUGCGUAGAUAUUAGGAGGAACACCGGUGGCGAAGGCGGCUUACUGGACUGUAACUGACGUUGAGGCUCGAAGGCGUGGGGAGCAAACAGGAUUAGAUACCCGAGUAGUC
rnacentral:rRNA from 1 species